rnacentral:rRNA from 1 species
CAUUAUAGCAAUAAACCGAAGAGGCAGGUUUGUUGCUGGAGGUUUGCUCCACAUGUGCACACUUUUGGUCGCAAUCCACACACACCUGUGCAUCUAUGACUCGAGGUUGUAAUGACUGAUAGUAACUUUUACACACUCUUGUAUGUAAUGGAAUGUCUUUUGUGCUAUAAUGUACAAUAUAAACAACUUUCAACAACGGAUCUCUUGGCUCUCGCAUCGAUGAAGAACGCARCGAAAUGCGAUAAGUAAUGUGAAUUGCAGAAUUCAGUGAAUCAUCGAAUCUUUGAACGCACCUUGCACCCUUUGGUAUUCCGAAGGGUACGCCCGUUUGAGUGUCAUUGUAAUCUCACUUCUACAACUUUAUUGUUGUUUGAAUGUGGACUUGGAUGUUGCCGUGUCAUUACGGCUCGUCUCAAAUGCCUGAGUGUACCCUGUUUUGCAGCGUAUCCAGUGUAAUAAACAUUUCACUAGAGUUGGUCGAAAGACCGCGUUUGCAAUUUGGGCUCUAUGCUUCAAACCGUCUGCUAUGUGGACAAUUUCUUGACAAUUUGACCUCAAAUCGGGUGGAACUACCCGCUGAACUU